CGCUGGCGGCGUGCCUAAUACAUGCAAGUCGAGCGAACAGAUAAGGAGCUUGCUCCUUUGACGUUAGCGGCGGACGGGUGAGUAACACGUGGGUAACCUACCUAUAAGACUGGAAUAACUCCGGGAAACCGGNGCUAAUGCCGGAUAACAUUUAGAACCGCAUGGUUCUAAAGUGAAAGAUGGUUUUGCUAUCACUUAUAGAUGGACCCGCGCCGUAUUAGCUAGUUGGUAAGGUAACGGCUUACCAAGGCAACGAUACGUAGCCGACCUGAGAGGGUGAUCGGCCACACUGGAACUGAGACACGGUCCAGACUNCUACGGGAGGCAGCAGUAGGGAAUCUUCCGCAAUGGGCGAAAGCUGACGGAGCAACGCCGCGUGAGUGAUGAAGGUCUUCGGAUCGUAAAACUCUGUUAUUAGGGAAGAACAAAUGUGUAAGUAACUAUGCACGUCUUGACGGUACCUAAUCAGAAAGCCACGGCUAACUACGUGCCAGCAGCCGCGGUAAUACGUAGGUGGCAAGCGUUAUCCGGAAUUAUUGGGCGUAAAGCGCGCGUAGGCGGUUUCUUAAGUCUGAUGUGAAAGCCACGGCUCAACCGUGGAGGGUCAUUGGAAACUGGAAAACU
rnacentral:rRNA from 1 species